rnacentral:rRNA from 1 species
AGUGAACGCUGGUGGUAGGCCUAACACAUGCAAGUCGAACGGCAGCACAGUAAGAGCUUGCUCUUACGGGUGGCGAGUGGCGGACGGGUGAGGAAUACAUCGGAAUCUACUUUUUCGUGGGGGAUAACGUAGGGAAACUUACGCUAAUACCGCAUACGACCUACGGGUGAAAGCAGGGGAUCUUCGGACCUUGCGCGAUUGAAUGAGCCGAUGUCGGAUUAGCUAGUUGGCGGGGUAAAGGCCCACCAAGGCGACGAUCCGUGGCUGGUCUGAGAGGAUGAUCAGCCACACUGGAACUGAGACACGGUCCAGACUCCUACGGGAGGCAGCAGUGGGGAAUAUUGGACAAUGGGCGCAAGCCUGAUCCAGCCAUACCGCGUGGGUGAAGAAGGCCUUCGGGUUGUAAAGCCCUUUUGUUGGGAAAGAAAAGCAGCAGGUUAAUACCCCGCUGUUCUGACGGUACCCAAAGAAUAAGCACCGGCUAACUUCGUG